GACAGAGGGUGCAAACGUUGUUCGGAAUUACUGGGCGUAAAGCGCGUGUAGGCGGCCCUGCAAGUCGGAUGUGAAAUCCCACGGCUCAACCGUGGAAGUGCAUUCGAAACUGCAGGGCUAGAGUCCUGGAGAGGAAGGUGGAAUGCUUGGUGUAGAGGUGAAAUUCGUAGAUAUCAAGCAGAACACCUGCGGCGAAGGCGGCCUUCUGGACGAUGACUGACGCUGAGACGCGAAAGCGUGGGGAGCAAACAGG
rnacentral:rRNA from 1 species